rnacentral:misc_RNA from 1 species
GAUGAAGAACGUAGCGAAAUGCGAUACGUAAUGUGAAUUGCAGAAUUCAGUGAAUCAUCGAAUCUUUGAACGCACAUUGCGCCCCUUGGUAUUCCAUGGGGCAUGCCUGUUCGAGCGUCAUUUGUACCUUCAAGCUUUGCUUGGUGUUGGGUGUUUGUCUCGCCUUUGCGUGUAGACUCGCCUUAAAAUAAUUGGCAGCCGGCGUAUUGAUUUCGGAGCGCAGUACAUCUCGCGCUUUGCACUCAUAACGACAGCGUCCAAAAGUACAUUUUACACUCUUGACCUCGGAUCAGGUAGGGAUACCCGCUGAACUUAAGCAUAUCAAUAAGGAGGA